UACAGAGGGUGCAAGCGUUGUUCGGAAUUACUGGGCGUAAAGCGCGUGUAGGCUGCGAUGUAAGUCAGGUGUGAAAGCCCUCAGCUUAACUAAGGAAGUGCACUUGAUACUGUGUCGCUUGAGUGUCGGAGGGGGUGGCGGAAUUCCCGGUGUAGAGGUGAAAUUCGUAGAUAUCGGGAGGAACACCUGUGGCGAAGGCGGCCACCUGGACGACAACUGACGCUGAGACGCGAAAGCGUGGGUAGCAAACAGG
rnacentral:rRNA from 1 species